rnacentral:rRNA from 1 species
GACGAACGCUGGCGGCGUGCCUAAUACAUGCAAGUAGAACGCUGAAGGUGGAGCGUGCUUCGCUGAAUGAGUUACGAACGGGUAAGUAACGCGUAGGUAACCUGCCGCGUAGCGGGGGCUAACUGUUGGAAACGCUAGCUAAUACCGCAUAAUCGUACAUGUUGCAUGACAUUUGGUUAGAAUGUGCAGUUGGAGAACUACCAGAUGCACCUGCGUUGUCUGGGCUAGUUGGGGGGGCAACGGCUCACCAAGGCGACGAUGCAUAGGCGACCUGCGAGGGUGAUCGGCCACCCUGGGACGGAGACACGGCCCAGACUCCUACGGGAGGCAGCAGUAGGGAAUCUUCGGCAAUGGGCGGAAGUCUGACCGCGCAACGCCGCGGGAGUGAAGAAGGUUUUCGGAUCGUAAAGCUCGGUUUUAGGAGAAGAACGAGUGUGCGGGUGGAAAGAUCACACUGUGACGGUAUCUUACCAGAAAGCGACGGCUAACUACGUG